GACGAACGCUGGCGGCGUGCCUAAUACAUGCAAGUCGAACGCAGUGGGGACGGGUGAGUAACACGUGGGUAACCUCCCAUCAGAGGGGAGAAAAGUUGGAAACAGGUGCUAAACUGAAACAGAUGGAUGAACCAGUGUGGCAUUAGCUUGUUGGGGAGGUAACGGCCCACCAAGGCUACGAGGCAUAACCUGACUGAGAGGGUGACCAGCCACACUGGGACUGAGACACGGCCCAGACUCCUACGGGAGUCAGCAGUAGGGAAUCUUCGGCAAUGGACGAAAGCCUGACCGAGCAACGCCGCGUGUGUGAAGAAGGUUUUCGGAUCGUAAAGCUCUGUUGUUAGGGAAGCGGUAUCUAACCAGAAAGCCACGGCUAACUACGUGCCAGCAGCCGCGGUAAUUC
rnacentral:rRNA from 1 species